rnacentral:lncRNA from 1 species
CCCAAGCGACCUCAAGGUUACCUAAGUUAAGUUUUAAUUUCCCCUGCGUUCUUGGAUACGUUAAGCAAAUUCACAUAUGCAUCUUUUAAUUUUACAGAGUGACGGACUGAAAGUAUUAGGAAAGCCACAAGUCACCUAUCUCUGAAGCCCAACAACUUUCCAAAGAAGCACCUACUCAGUGCAGUGAUAGCCUGUUCCAGAUCAUAAAAUAAGAGGGAAGAGUUGCCAAAUUUCUUUUGAAAUUACGUAUCUCUUACUCUUAAACCUGCCACCCAGCAAUAAAAGAGUUCUUGUCCAAGAAGGCGCUGUAUGAAGACCCUGAACUCACCUCCUCCAUGGAGAUGCCAAAGCUACACCUAUUUAUAGAACAAUUCCUUCUGAAGGAGAACUAAGGGCUGACUGAACAGCUUCUGCACAACAAAAGACAGACCAUGAAAAGAAUGGCACGAGAGAUGAAAAAAGACGGACUUUACUCUUUCUGGUCUCCCCAUGGGCUCUCGGGACCCACAGGAUCUCAGAGCAUGGAGGCUCUCUGUCUGGCACCUGGUGGUACUCGGGGUACUUUUGCUGCACCAAAUCGCUGGUCAUGAGCAUCCUGGGCUCCCACAGAUGGAAGUGCUUCCUCCCGGCCUGCAUCGCCAUUAUAUUCGGGAAUUCUGAGAUCUGCUCCUCAGCACAGCAGUUGCCCUUCAUGAAGGUCACGCCCAGGAGAGUCAUCUGGAGCCCAGUCUCGGGCAGUUGCUGCCACCAUUCAAGCUCCCAUCGCUAGUGAUGUCCGGUUUGCUGACAAGGCCAUAGAAAUGCUUGGUGGAGUACACGUCUUUGAAGUUAAGGCAAAAGACUAGCUCCCAAGUGUUCAGAGGCAUUCCAGAAGGUCACAAGGAAGAGCUCCUUGUAUUCUUUUCAGCAUGUCUGCCUUCGUAACACGUGUUCAUUUUAUAUUUGAGCAAAAGGAACUGUACCAACAAAGUUACCUUCUUGAUGAGAAAGUCUCAGCAUGAGUAUCUACCAGUUAUGUGUGUCUGUGAGUAUGCGUGCAUAUCUGUAUACAAAAGUUGGCUGAAAAAAAAAAAAACACUAGCCUUACUAAGUGUGAUUUACUGUGACGUUUGCUAAUUCUAACCCAUACACUAUAUUAAAAUAAUGAUAAAGGCCAUACUUACCUCUAAGGAG